rnacentral:miRNA from 1 species
ACCUUAGAGACCAACUAAGUUUGUUCUGGGUAUAAGCUUUUGUGUGCAUGCACACGAAAGCUUAUACCCAGAACAAACAUAGUUGGUCUCUAAGGU